AUUCCAGCUCCAAGAGCGUAUACUAAAGUUGUUGCAGUUAAAAAGCUCGUAGUUGGAUUUCUGACAUAAUGAGCUUAGUCCGCUUCCUUAUGGUAGUGAGUACUGGUGCGCGUUUGUCAUCCUUCUAGAAAACGUUUCUACCAUUUACUUGGCCGGAUUCGCGAUCUAGAUCUUUUACUUUGAAAAAAUUAGAGUGUUUAAAGCAGGCUUUUGCUGUGAAUACAUUAGCAUGGAAUAAUAAUCUAGGACUUCGGUUCUAUUUUGUUGGUUUCUAGUACUGAAGUAAUGAUUGAUAGGGAUAGUUGGGGGUGCUAGUAUUGGCCGGCCAGAGGUGAAAUUCUUGGAUUCGGUCAAGACUAACUUAUGCGAAAGCAUUCACCAAGGAUGUCUUCAUCA
rnacentral:rRNA from 1 species